rnacentral:rRNA from 1 species
CCCUAUGGGGUGCACCAGGGUGGGGACGCCCGUCUUCGAUGCCCAUCUCAUCGACAUUGGCACAGGCUUCGAAUCCAAGGAGAACGCCAACCUGCAGGAGAACGCUGAGACCAGCCACAAGAAGAAGGCGGAUAAAAUAAGCAAAGAGCAGUACCUUUUGCUUCUGCCCCCAUACCUUGCCGACCGCCACCUGGCAGGAGACCUGCAUAUCCAUGACCUGGAGUACUUCGGAACCAGGCCGUUCCGCCAGGACUGGGAUCUGCGCUACUUCCUCUACGACGGCCUGAUGCCGGACGGCCUGGGCACCAAGGCCAGCGUUGCCGGCCCGGCCAAAAAGCCUGAGGUGGCCAUACUGCAUGCGGUCAAGGCCCUGGGCAGCGCCCAGACCAACUUUGCGGGAGGGC